rnacentral:rRNA from 1 species
CCCCUCCUCCCCGCACGACCUAUCUCGCCCCCUUCUCCUCACACGUCUCUCGCCCCCUCCUCCCGCGCCGUUCGCCGCCCCGCCGUUCCUCCCGCACCCUUGCGCCGCCAUUAGCCACAGGAUCCGCCCUGCCGCGCGCGGAGACGCCUCCAGCAGCUGCCGCCGAUGCCGUAACCUCCCCCUGCCUCUACCCCAGGCGCGAGGAACCUACCUCCCGAAGCAACCGGAGCGGCAAAGCGGCGGAUGAAUGGAGAGAUGGCGUCUGUGGCGGCGGGGAAGGAGAUGGCGCGGGCGUCCUACAUCCAGAUCAAGCACGAGGAGGAGCGGCGAGGGCCCGAGGGCCGGUUCUUCUCCGUCACACGCGCGCCGAUGUCGCCGCGCGUCGACCAGAUCCUCGCCGGGCGCGCCUCCUUCGCCGACCUUGCUGCACAGCACUCCGGCUGCUCCUUCGCCCGCCGCGGCAGCAACCUAGAACCAAUUGAUUUGCAGAAGAUGACAUGAAUCGGAAGGGUAAUCAGUGCCGCCAACGGAAGGCUCGGCAGUGCUGAUCACCAGAGCUAGACUACUGGCAGUGCCAUCCAAAUCCUCGGUGACGCUCAAGGGUGACCAUAGUAGCAUAUAUUCAGCCCAAAUACAGUGCUGUCAUCAAACGCCGUCUGCAAUUUUCUAGCUCCAGGAAUUUCGACCGUCCUACAAGAAGAAUCAGUUGAGAAGCUGCAGUGCUAGGACUGGUUGUUGCCCAAAGAGAUGAUAUGACCAUCAGUUUAUGGUCUUUUUGAGCUUGAUGUUUCUGUAUUGGAGAAAUGAAGUCUUCGGCAUGUACACGGUGUAAACAAUCAUUGGAAAAGGCGAGAUGAAGAUAAGAGGAGCAUAUAGAAGUUUCUGAUUUGUAUAGGAGGCCUUGUUGGUAUGAUUUAUUUUCCUGAUGGUAUAUUCAUCUCAUUAGGAAGGCCUUGUUGUGUGGCUUUGGUCUUCCUAAAUUUGUGUGUGGAUUUUUCUCUUUUCUUUUUAGCUUUGUGAAACAAUGACUAUCCUAGUGCAAGAUCUACUCAUGGAUAUUUCCUUAUUGUACAGUUUUCCAUUUUAAAAUAGUAGACAUUUCUCCAUUGUUGAGAUGUUGAUAGGACAAGUUUAAUAGAUUGUUUAUCUUACCAGGACUAAGAUUAGCCUGGAGAAAGUGUGGCUUGCAUGCCAUCUAUGUCAUACACAAAUUAUUAAAUUUUCUUUCUUCAUUUUUUGUUCAUGAAUGUUGCACUCUUGGAGAUGAGACUCAGAAUGGAUGCAUAAUGGUCCUGGCUACUGGCGAGCUUGAAGCAAGUGGUGCGUGUUGUGACUCCCACUGUGGCGCUGUAGUCGACUCCAUCAAUUCAAAUUCUGAAGAUAACAUGUAGCCUGAAUCCAAGAGGGAACAAAUCCAGUUGUUACAAGACUGCGUUCUGUUUUGCAUAUUUUGUUGACAGUUUGCAUCUCUGCCAUGUUCAUCUUGGAUUAUGAUUUCUUUUUCAUCUGCUCCCACUUAUAUAUGUAUUAUAAGUCCUUCGAAGUACACAGAAUAAAUCAGACAUUCUGAAAUCUUUAGUAUAC